rnacentral:rRNA from 1 species
CAUUCACGGAGAGUUUGAUCCUGGCUCAGGACGAACGCUGGCGGCGUGCUUAACACAUGCAAGUCGAACGAUGAAGCCCUUCGGGGUGGAUUAGUGGCGAACGGGUGAGUAACACGUGGGCAAUCUGCCCUGCACUCUGGGACAAGCCCUGGAAACGGGGUCUAAUACCGGAUAUGACCGUCCAUCGCAUGGUGGAUGGUGUAAAGCUCCGGCGGUGCAGGAUGAGCCCGCGGCCUAUCAGCUAGUUGGUGAGGUAGUGGCUCACCAAGGCGACGACGGGUAGCCGGCCUGAGAGGGCGACCGGCCACACUGGGACUGAGACACGGCCCAGACUCCUACGGGAGGCAGCAG